GAUGAACGCUAGCUACAGGCUUAACACAUGCAAGUCGAGGGGAAACGAUGAGAGAGCUUGCUCUCUUAGUCGUCGACCGGCGCACGGGUGAGUAACGCGUAUCCAACCUGCCUCUGACCAAGGGAUAACCCGUCGAAAGUCGGACUAAUACCUUAUGCAGUCGUCGGAAGUCACCUGAUGACGACGAAAGAUUUCAUCGGUGAGAGAUGGGGAUGCGUCUGAUUAGCUUGUUGGCGGGGUAACGGCCCACCAAGGCGACGAUCAGUAGGGGUUCUGAGAGGAAGGUCCCCCACAUUGGAACUGAGACACGGUCCAAACUCCUACGGGAGGCAGCAGUGAGGAAUAUUGAUCAAUGGGCGUAAGCCUGAACCAGCCAAGUAGCGUGCAGGAUGACGGCCCUAUGGGUUGUAAACUGCUUUUAUGCGGGGAUAAAGUGAGGGACGUGUCCUUCAUUGCAGGUACCGCAUGAAUAAGGACCGGCUAAUUCCGUG
rnacentral:rRNA from 1 species